GACGAACGCUGGCGGCGUGCUUAACACAUGCAAGUCGAACGGAAAGGCCUGCUUUCCCUUGUGGAUUGCGGGUACUCGAGUGGCGAACGGGUGAGUAACACGUGAGUGAUCUGCCCCCAACUUGGGUAUAAGCCUGGGAAACUGGGUCUAAUUCCCGAUAGGACUGCAGGGUGGUGCCUGUGGUGGAAAACGAUUUUCUAGUGGUUGGGGAUGAGCUCGCGGCCUAUCAGCUUGUUGGUGGGGUAAUGGCCUACCAAGGCGGCGACGGGUAGCCGGCCUGAGAGGGUGGACGGCCACAUUGGGACGGAGAUACGGCCCAGACUACUACGGGAGGCAGCAGUGGGGAAUAUUGCACAAUGGGCGGAAGACUGAUGCAGCGACGCCGCGUGGGGGAUGACGGCCUUCGGGUUGUAAACUCCUUUCGACCGCGAGGAAGCCACCUGGUUGGAAGGGUGGUGACGGUAGUGGUAGAAGAAGCACCGGCUAACUACGUG
rnacentral:rRNA from 1 species